GCUAGGGCGGCAGCAGUGAGGAAUAUUGGUCAAUGGGCUUACGCCUGAACCAGCCAAGUCGCGUGAGGGAAGACUGCCCUAUGGGUUGUAAACCUCUUUUGUCAGGGAGCAACGCCGGCUACGUGUAGCCGGACUGAGAGUACCUGCAGAAAAAGCAUCGGCUAACUCCGUGCCAGCAGCCGCGGUAAUACGUAGGGAGCGAGCGUUGUCCGGAAUUACUGGGUGUAAAGGGAGCGUAGGCGGGCGAGAAAGUUGAAUGUUAAAUCUACCGGCUUAACUGGUAGCUGCGUUCAAAACUUCUUGUCUUGAGUGAAGUAGAGGCAGGCGGAAUUCCUAGUGUAGCGGUGAAAUGCGUAGAUAUUAGGAGGAACACCAGUGGCGAAGGCGGCCUGCUGGGCUUUAACUGACGCUGAGGCUCGAAAGCGUGGGGAGCAAACAGGAUUAGAUACCCUAGUAGUC
rnacentral:rRNA from 1 species